GACGAACCGUGCGAACGUUGUUCGGAUUCACUGGGCUUAAAGGGCGCGUAGGCGGUCGCCAUAGUCGGGGGUGAAAUCUCCGGGCUUAACUCGGAACGGCCAAGUGAAACUGUCAAGCUAGAGUGCAGAAGGGGCAAUCGGAAUUCUUGGUGUAGCGGUGAAAUGCGUAGAUAUCAAGAGGAACACCUGAGGUGAAGACGGGUUGCUGGGCUGACACUGACGCUGAGGCGCGAAAGCCAGGGGAGCAAACGGG
rnacentral:rRNA from 1 species